UUUUUUCAUCAAGCUUUUCGUCUUUCUUCGUUGAAGUCUCACGGACUCCUCCAUCUCGUGUGCUGCUUCUCACGCCGUCUAGGACCUGUCUCGAUGCCGCUGCAUCUCUGCCUCCCCUCUGGGCCUCCAACGACUCUGUGCUGCAUCUCCUCCUUUGUGAGCGGCUCUGUAUCUCCUCCUUUGACUCAUUAUACUAUGCGACUCCAGAUUUAUUUUUCUUCUCUAUCUGUCGCCGGCAAUGGUGGUUAAGCCUCUUGGAUCUGCUCUGCUCUAAGUGACGUGUCUGUGACGUUGAGUCUGUUUGACUAGCAAGCUAUAUCUUUUCACAACAAGUCAGAAAGUCUUCGGUGAUCCUAAGGUUGUUAACAAGUAUCAACUCCAAGAUUGUAGGAGGUAUUUUUGUUUAAAUGGGAUGACUCUAAUAGUUCUUGGCCCUAAAGAAAUCAAUAUUUUGCAGGGCAUCUGUUCUUGAACGCCACAUCAGGGACCGAUAGAAUUUUUGACAAAGAGAUUAAUUUGAUCUCAGUUUGGUAGUUUACUUAUCCAUCACAUAAUUAGCGAAUUCCUGCACAACACUGUAGGCUGUUUUCCAUUGACAUUGGGAUUCCUCCAGCAUCUUCAUUACUGAGGGGCUACACUAAGCUUGAGCCUCUAACCAUAGCUGAAAUGAGUUCAUCAUCACUGCCCAGCCACAGGAUAUCGCCUUCAUAUGCACCGGUAGGGGCACUGGGAUCAAGAUGGACAAAGGCUGGUGUUACGUCUCUUUCUCCAUGUGUACAAAGAAGCUUUAGCGGACUGUAUCAUCCUUCACUUGUGUCUUGUGUGGCCUGCAACAACACUAAUGUUGUUGGUGUGCUAAGAUGAGUAUUGCUGAUGAGACUGCUGAGGGCCUGUUUGUUGGCUUCGAUGGGGUAAUACUAAAUUGCAUCUCAUACGUGCAUAUGAACCUGGUCAUCUACUGGCUGGAGAGGGAGUUAACUCAGAAGAAGAAUCGGCUCGAGGGAGAGCCGAGCGUGAAGUUGCAUAGAGAGAAGUUGCUAGAGUGAGAAUGAGACAAGAGUAAGCACUUGCUCUUGGACUGUAUUUCCCGUGAUAAUGUAGAUUUUGGUAAGGUUCCUGAAUGGAUAAAGAAAAGCGAGGAGGUUUGAAAGCAAUACCAAGAUACAAACAUUGUAUGACUACGUUGAUACACUUGGAUGCUAGAAACAGAAGAGUAUAGCUUAAUCACAAACUUUCCAAGAACGGUGUAUGGAAGAGACAAAGAGUCAAUGUCACUGGAAGAUGCAGGUUUGCAUCCUCAGGCAAGUCUCUUCAUUGAGAUAAACUAAGUUUCAGAUUCUUCUGUUUCUUUCUCCUUAAGCCACUCUUUUUACAGUUUUGUUCAUCUCUUUUAAAAUAAUUAGUAGUGUUGCUUCAGUGAUCCGAUGAACAAGAUAACAUAUAUACACAUAUAUUCAGAAGUUGUGUCACAUAUUUGAUAUAUUUAGUUCUUAAAAUGA